rnacentral:lncRNA from 1 species
AUUCUCCAAAGAAGAAAUCAGAGACUGAAGGCAGGAAGUGGCCCUUAUCCUGUGAUCUCACAGCAUCCCACUUGGAGCUCAGUGCCGCAAAGGGAGACCUCUUCUCUGAAGUGAUAAGAUGAGAUGCUUUCUGUAAGAUCUGAGAGGCUGUUGGGGCUUAGGGCAGUCUUGUCAGCAGGAUGCUGGCUGCCUGAUCAGGGGCUUAAAUCAUAAUCUCCAGGAGACUCCUGUGGCUAAAACUCUCAAGAGCUGACAUGAGGGCCAAACAAUUGAAGAAUUCAUGCCCCAGAUCGCAGGCAAAUGAACGGAUGCCUGGAAGAUUCUGGGGCCAGUUCACUUACAGCGUCAUGAAAGACUUCGACACCAGAUUAGAUAUCCUUCAUGCCCUCGCAUUCUGUGACGCCCACCCUGGACACGGGGCUGCAGAAUCUAAUGCCCUAUUCUCCGGUGACCACAGAGACUUCAUUACAGGUGAAGCGGUUCCUCUUGCUGUGGACUAUCCAGCGGUGGAGAGCAGCUUGCUGAGGGUGGGGUAUAAGCUGCCAAGACAAGUCAUCCUCUUGGUUUUGAAAGAAAUGGCUGGGCCCAGCUGGCAGUCGACCAACCAAGCAGUAUUUAUGGAGCCCUUCUGACAUCCAAGGUCUUCCCGUGCAGGGUCAGGGAGGGACACAGAGAGAAAGAAGAGGAGCUGGCAACCCCCGUGGGGCAUCACGAUGCAGGUAAACCGGUGGGGGUGGGGGGCGGAGACUGACCGGGAGGAACAGAGUCAGAG